UACGAAGGGUGCAAGCGUUAAUCGGAAUUACUGGGCGUAAAGCGUGCGCAGGCGGUUUUGUAAGCCAGAUGUGAAAGCCCCGGGCUUAACCUGGGAAUGGCAUUUGGGACUGCAAGGCUUGAGUGCGGCAGAGGAGACUGGAAUUCCUGGUGUAGCAGUGAAAUGCGUAGAUAUGCGGAGGAACACCGAUGGCGAAGGCAAUCCCCUGGGCCUGCACUGACGCUCAUGCACGAAAGCGUGGGGAGCAAACAGG
rnacentral:rRNA from 1 species